GCAGGAUAAAGCUUCAAGUCGCAGUACAGGCAAGGACACAAACAGCAGGAUAGUCAAGGGAUAACUGAAGUCAAAGGAUGCCAGAGGCCAGGAUCAACAAAGUGUAGCCGAAGUCAAGGGAUGCCAGAGGUCAGGAUUAAAGAAGUCAGAAGCUGGGGUCAAUAUGAAGUAGAACACUGGAACGGAACACACACAACAGGAUCAAAGACUUGAUCC